UCACGUUCCGUCAUCAUUGAGGUGGAAUAGUGUGUUCGAUUGUGAGCUUGAUGGUCAGUCUGCCUUUCAAUGUGGAUAAAAGUCACCUUGUUGGACCUGAGCCCUAGGACCAUGCCUCAGGACAACCUGGCAUGAUAACUGCUUGCUGUCCCCAGUCCACCUGGCUGUGCUGCUGCUCCAGUUUCAACUGUUCUGCCUGCGGUUAUGGAAUCCUGACCUGGUCACCAGACAUGCUACCUGUCCCAGACCUAUUAUUUGACGAUGCUGGUCAUUUAUGAACAUUUGAACAUCUUGGCCAUGUUCUGUUAUAAUCUCCACCCGGCACAGCCAAAGGGGGCUGGCCACCCCUCAUAGCCUGGUUCCUCUCUAGGUUUCCUAGGUUUUGGCCUUUCUAGGGAGUUUUUCCUAGCCAAUGUGCUUCAACACCUGCAUUGCUUGCUGUUUGGGGUUUAAGGCUGAGUUUCUGUACAUCACUUUGAGAUAUCAGCUGAUGUACGAAGGGCUAUAUAAAUACAUUUGAUUUGAUUUAAAACAUGUUGGUAUUACAGUCUCAGACAGGGAGAGGUUGAAAAUGUCAGUGAAGACACUUGCCAGUUGGUAAGUGCAUGCUCGCAGUACACGUCCUGGUAAUCCAUCUGGCCCUGCGGCCUUGUGAAUGUUGACUUGCUGAAAGGUUUUACUCACAUCGGCUGCAGAGAACGUGAUUACACAGUCUUCCAGAACAGCUGGUGCUCUCAUGCAUGUUUCAGUGUUAUUUGCCUCUAAGUGAGCAUAGAAGUAGUUUAGCUGAUCUGGUAGACUCGUGUCACUGGGCAGUUCUCGGCUGUGCUUCCCUUUGUAGUCUGUAAUGUUUUGCAAGCCCUGCUAAAUCCUACGAUCAUCAGAGCCGGUGUAGUCCGAUUCUACCUUAGUCCUGUGUUGACGCAUUGCCUGUUUGAUAGUUCGUCGGAAGGCAUAUCGGGAUUUCUUAUAAGCUUCCGGGUCAGAAAGCUCCUUGAAAGCGGCAGCUCUUGCCUUUAGCUCAGUGCGCAUGUUGCCUAUAACCCAUGGCUUCUGGUUGGGGUAUGUACGUACGGUCACUGUGGGGACGACGUCAUCUAUGCACUUAUUGAUAAAGCCAGUAACUGAUGUGGUGUACUCCUCAAUGCCAUCGGAGGAAUCCUGGAACAUAUUCCAAUCUGUGCUAGCAAAACAGUCCUGUAGCUUAGCAUCUGCUUCAUCUGACCAUGUUUUUAUUGAUCUUGUCCCUGGUGCUUCCUGCUUAAAUUUUUGCUUGUAAGCAGGAAUCAGGAGGACAGAAUUAUUGUCAGAUGUGCCAAAUGAAACUUGCGGGAGAGCUUUGUAUGCGUCUCUGUGUGUGGAGCAAAGGUGGUCCAGAGUUUUUUUCCCCUCUGGUUGCACAUUUAACAUGCUGAUAGAAAUGUGGUCAAGUUUCCAUGCAUUAAUGUCCCCGCCUACUAGGAGCGCCGCCUCUGGCUGAAUGUUUUCUUGUUUGAUUAUGGCGGAAUACAGCUCAUUCAAUACUG